UGGUGGGUAGUUUGACUGGGGCGGUCUCCUCCUAAAGAGUAACGGAGGAGCACGAAGGUUGGCUAAUCCUGGUCGGACAUCAGGAGGUUAGUGCAAUGGCAUAAGCCAGCUUGACUGCGAGCGUGACGGCGCGAGCAGGUGCGAAAGCAGGUCAUAGUGAUCCGGUGGUUCUGAAUGGAAGGGCCAUCGCUCAACGGAUAAAAGGUACUCCGGGGAUAACAGGCUGAUACCGCCCAAGAGUUCAUAUCGACGGCGGUGUUUGGCACCUCGAUGUCGGCUCAUCACAUCCUGGGGCUGAAGUAGGUCCCAAGGGUAUGGCUGUUCGCCAUUUAAAGUGGUACGCGAGCUGGGUUUAGAACGUCGUGAGACAGUUCGGUCCCUAUCUGCCGUGGGCGCUGGAGAAUUGAGGGGGGCUGCUCCUAGUACGAGAGGACCGGAGUGGACGCAUCACUGGUGUUCGGGUUGUCAUGCCAAUGGCACUGCCCGGUAGCUAAAUGCGGAAGAGAUAAGUGCUGAAAGCAUCUAAGCACGAAACUUGCCCCGAGAUGAGUUCU
rnacentral:rRNA from 1 species